AGGUAGAAAAACUGCGUUCUCUGGUGUCCAGGAUGAGGAUGUUGGCCGCACAACCCAAACUAGAGAAACAGUUGACGUAUCUGCUGGACUUACUGGACAACUAUCCUGCCUUUAGCAUCGGUGGCUUUUACGUCUUGGCUGAGAGCAGACUAGUUGAUGUUGCUAGUUUUGUCGCCACAUACCUAGUGAUUCUGCUACAGUUCCGAGCAGUUGAAGACCCGAGUUCUGAAACAGCAUCUACCUAGAGAGGCAGCUGUUGUUUCCUGCAGAUGAUUACAUCCUCCUUUCAAUACAACUAACUUGUUUAUUGUAGGUACUGUAGUUCCUGGUGAAGGAACGACAAAAUAAGAAGCAUCACAGCAUCUUUUCUGAGAAAGUAACUACUCUGUCAGUAACAAACAGUGUUGCCGAUGGUGAUAAUGGACAAAACAGAUUAAAAUGGAGACAUCAAUUGUUAAGAGAAUGGAUAAAUCUUAUUCAGAUGGAUAUUUAAUUGAAAACAACAAGAAAGGACCUUGUAGAUUAAGACUGAGACGUCCUCUAGAUUAAAGAGGAUGAACCUAAAUUAGCAUUAUGAAUAUGAACAUUGUUCAUAGCUUUAUUACAAAAUUAAAAAAAUUAACAUGCACCAUGUAUUUGUUAACUGCUUCAUUACAUGUGUUUUCUGUUACUGCAAUAUUUCUUUUUACUGGUACUUAAGAAUCAUUUGAUAAUUUGCAGUAAAUCUUGAGUAACAUGAUCCCAGGUUCCAGUGUCUAAGGUAAACCAUUCCAUCAUAUUACUCAAAAUUUACAACUAAUUUUGCCAACUUUUAGAGAGUAGAUUACUGUGAUGACCAUUAGUAUUGUAGGAAAUAAAGAUGCUGGGUGCAGAGAAUUUUUUAAUACAACGUUUCGCCCAAGUCUGGUUUUUAUCGAGUAUACAAGAAUAUGUAAGUACUGUACGGCACCUUAUAGGGCAAACAAGCAAUAAUAAGUCAAGCUUGAUGAAAAACAGAUAACAUCUGUUGAUAUGAAAUUGCGAGAUUAAGUAUAAGUGACAUUGGUAAUGUCAGGUAGACGUGAGAGUAAGAGGUGUGAGUACAGUGACAGAUUUAUUGAUUAUAAUGUAAAUCACGGUCAGUGGGUGCAAUUAGUUUAGUCAACAUGUAUAUUCCGCUGUUUUGCUCAGUGAUAUAGUGAGAUGGAUCACUGGUGCUUCCAAAAAUCUGUCUAGCCCUGUCAUCUUCCUGGUGUAACAGUUGUACUCUCGGUCAGUCCAUGAUGUGAGAAUGACAGUAGUGAUGGACAGCACAUUGCUGGUUUAUCCUUCCUGCUGGAAUAUUUUCCUGUUGGAGUGUCUGAGGGUCUCGUCACGGCCUCCUGAGAGACUAUAGCAUCCCACCAUACGUUAUACUGUAUAAUUCUGUUGUGUGUGUUUA